AGAGUUUGAUCAUGGCUCAGGGUUAACGCUGGCGGCGUGCGUAACACAUGCAAGUCGAACGGGCCAUUACUCUUUGGAGUGAUGGUUAGUGGCGAACGGGUGAGUAAAAGGUAGGGACCUACCCCGAGGACAGAGAUAGCUACUGGAAACGGUAGGUAAACUCUGAUAAGCCCGAGAGGGGAAAGUGGAAGGCAGCCUUGGGAUGGACCUACUAUCCAUCAGGUAGUUGGUGAGGUAAAGGCUCACCAAGCCGAUGACGGAUAACCGGUGUGAGAGCAUGUACGGUCACAAGGGCACUGAGACACGGGCCCUACUCCUACGGGAGGCAGCAGUGGGGAAUAUUGGACAAUGGGCGAAAGCCUGAUCCAGCGACGCCGCGUGAAGGAAGAAGUCCUUCGGGAUGUAAACUUCUGAACUAAUCGAAUAAAAGGGUAGUGGACACACUACAGAAGAAGGUAGAUUAGGAAAAGUCCCGGCUAACUACGUGCCAGCAGCCGCGGUAAGACGUAGGGGGCGAGCGUUGCCCGGAAUCACUGGGUGUAAAGGGGACGUAGGCGGAUGAUCAAGUCAUCUGUGAAAAGAUUGCUCAACGAUUGGCUUGCGGAUGAAACUGGUCAUCUUGGGCGUAGCAGAGGUAGACGGAAUUACCUGAGUAGGGGUGAAAUCCGCAGAUACAGGUAAGAACGCCGGUGAAGAAGUUGGUCUACUAGGCUACAGCUGACGCUGAGGUCCGAAAGCCAGGGGAGCGAACCGGAUUAGAUACCCGGGUAGUCCUGGCUGUAAACGAUGCUCACUAGGUGUAGGGAGCGAAAGACUCUCUGUGCUGAAGCUAACGCGAUAAGUGAGCCACCUGGGGAGUACGUCCGCAAGGAUGAAACUCAAGGAAUUGACGG
rnacentral:rRNA from 1 species